rnacentral:rRNA from 1 species
ACGCCGCGUGAGGGAUGACGGCCUUCGGGUUGUAAACCUCUUUUAGCAGGGAAGAAGCGAGAGUGACGGUACCUGCAGAAAAAGCGCCGGCUAACUACGUGCCAGCAGCCGCGGUAAUACGUAGGGCGCAAGCGUUAUCCGGAAUUAUUGGGCGUAAAGAGCUCGUAGGCGGUUUGUCGCGUCUGCUGUGAAAACUGGAGGCUCAACCUCCAGCCUGCAGUGGGUACGGGCAGACUAGAGUGCGGUAGGGGGAGAUUGGAAUUCCUGGUGUAGCGGUGGAAUGCGCAGAUAUCAGGAGGAACACCGAUGGCGAAGGCAGAUCUCUGGGCCGUAACUGACGCUGAGGAGCGAAAGGGUGGGGAGCGAACAGGCUUAGAUACCCUGGUAGUCCACCCCGUAAACGUUGGGAACUAGUUGUGGGGACCUUUCCACGGUUUCCGUGACGCAGCUAACGCAUUAAGUUCCCCGCCUGGGGAGUACGGCCGCAAGGCUAAAACUCAAAUGAAUUGACGGGGA